rnacentral:rRNA from 1 species
UGAGGAAUAUUGGACAAUGGGGGAAACCCUGAUCCAGCCAUGCCGCGUGAGUGAUGAAGGCCUUCGGGUUGUAAAACUCUUUAAGUAGGGAAAAUAAUGAUUGUACCUACAGAAUAAGCCACGGCAAACUUCGUGCCAGCAGCCGCGGUAAUACGAAGGUGGCUAGCGUUACUCGGAAUUACUGGGCGUAAAGCGGGUGCAGGUGGAACAACAAGUCAGGGGUGAAAGCCCAGAGCUUAACUCUGGAAUUGCCUUUGAAACUGUUGUUCUUGAGGUCGGUAGGGGAUAGUGGAAUUCUUAGUGUAGAGGUGAAAUUCGUAGAUAUUAAGAGGAACACCGGUGGCGAAGGCGACUGUCUGGACCGAUUCUGACACUCAGACCCGAAAGCGUGGGGAGCAAA